GUGGGGAAUAUUGGACAAUGGGCGCAAGCCUGAUCCAGCCAUGCCGCGUGAGUGAUGAAGGCCUUAGGGUUAUAAAGCUCUUUUGUCCGGGAAGAUAAUGACGGUACCGGAAGAAUAAGCCCCGGCUAACUUCGUGCCAGCAGCCGCGGUAAUACGAAGGGGGCUAGCGUUGCUCGGAAUCACUGGGCGUAAAGGGCGCGUAGGCGGACUUUUAAGUCGGGGGUGAAAGCCCAGGGCUCAACCCUGGAAUUGCCUUCGAUACUGGGAGUCUUGAGUUCGGAAGAGGUUGGUGGAACUGCGAGUGUAGAGGUGAAAUUCGUAGAUAUUCGCAAGAACACCAGUGGCGAAGGCGGCCAACUGGUCCGAUACUGACGCUGAGGCGCGAAAGCGUGGGGAGCAAACAGGAUUAGAUACCCGUGUAGUCC
rnacentral:rRNA from 1 species